rnacentral:ncRNA from 1 species
GAUAACUGGUGUGUGGCAGCCAAGCGUUCAUAGCGACGUUGCUUUUUGAUCCUCCGAUGUCGGCUCUUCCUAUCAUUGAGUUGCAGAAGUCUCAAAGUGUCCCACACACAGUUAGGCGUGAUGCGAAAGGCCGAAUUGACGCAUUGGAU